GAUGAACGCUGGCGGCGUGCCUCAAACAUGCAAGUCGAGCGGGGCUAUGUAAUAUCGCAAGGUAGAACAUAGCCUAGCGGCGAACGGGUGAGUAACACGUGGGUAACCUGCCUGGAAGACAGGGAUAACGAUUCGAAAGGGUCGCUAAUACCUGAUAAUAUCCUUUCAUCGCAUGGUGAUAGGAAGAAAGGGGAAACCCGCUUUCAGAUGGGCCCGCGUCCCAUCAGCUAGUUGGUAAGGUAAAGGCUUACCAAGGCGACGACGGGUAGCCGGUCUGAGAGGAUGUACGGCCACACUGGGACUGAGAUACGGCCCAGACUCCUACGGGAGGCAGCAGUUGGGAAUCUUAGGCAAUGGACGAAAGUCUGACCUAGCGACGCCGCGUGAGGGAAGAAAUCCUUCGGGAUGUAAAGCCCUGUUGUAUGGGAAGAGCGGAAGACGGUACCAUACGAGGAAGCCCCGGCAAACUACGUGCCAGCAGCCGCGGUAAGCUACGUAGA
rnacentral:rRNA from 1 species